AUACGUAGGGGGCGAGCGUUGUCCGGAAUGAUUGGGCGUAAAGGGCGCGUAGGCGGCCUGUUAAGUCUGGAGUGAAAGUCCUGUUUUCAAGAUGGGAAUUGCUUUGGAUACUGAUGGGCUUGAGUGCAGGAGAGGUUAUCGGAAUUCCCGGUGUAGCGGUGAAAUGCGUAGAGAUCGGGAGGAACACCAGUGGCGAAGGCGGGUAACUGGACUGCAACUGACGCUGAGGCGCGAAAGUGUGGGGAGCAAACAGGAUUAGAUACCCUGGUAGUCCACACUGUAAACGAUGAAUGCUAGGUGUAAGAGGUAUCGACCCCUUUUGUGCCGGAGUUAACACAAUAGGCAUUCCGCCUGGGGAGUACGGCCGCAAGGUUGAAACUCAAAUGAAUUGACGGGG
rnacentral:rRNA from 1 species